GAAUAAGAAGAUCAGACGUAGAAAAAACGCAUACUUUUCUUUGUUUUGCCAUCAAACGCUUUCUUUCUAUGCAAAAGGGAUAGUUUCUUGUUACUACAAAUCUUUCUAACCCUAAAUUCAAUUUAAUUUCAUUCUAGUCAACAAUCAAUUCAUAAUUUGUUUUCUGUUUGCGACACUCUUUCGGUCUUCGUCAAUCUUGAUUAUCACGCUCAAAAACCUCACAACACAAUGUAACACGUUCGUGUAACUCGCUCCGAGUCUCGUUCUCUUCGUUUUCAAUUGUUUUUAUCAUGCCGAUGGCUAAAGCGGAUUCCAAAGUCGUUGAUAACCGCGGGAUCGAAGAUGAAUUAUCGUGCGUGGAAUCAUCGUUGCUGGUUAAUCUCAUACAUGACUAACAAACAGGUGCUAUAUGAAAUGAAGAAAUCCAGAAGUUGGGCUGCACUGCACGUUUCUGAUAAUUGUUGCUUUCAUUAUCGUAGUCUUCCAUCCAUCAUAUUGCCGCGGCUACUGCAGAAAAUUGUGGAGGACCAAAAUUACGCAGAAGAAACUGCAUCUUAUGGUCAAAAUGCUGAUAUUGUCCAAGUAGUGAAGGACAAAAUUGAUUGGAAUGAAACAUUGAUAAAGCGUUACGUAGGAAGAGUUGAGAUUUCAAAGGGUCAUGCAGGGCUGGCCCACACUCUUUUCCUUUCAAAAAAUCUCACUCACUUCCCUAUAUCGAUCCAAGGCUACCAGUUCCAGUGAGAAUUGUGGAUCCAUCAAUGUCGACUGGAAGGUUGGAUGCUGAAGCACGAGAAAAUUAUGGUACAAAUGACUGGUAGAUACGCUAAGGCUUCAAAUGUAAGCCGCUUAUGCCCUUUGUUUUGAUAUAAGGUUUGGAUUGUUUUGUUUCCCAAAUGGUCUCCCAUUAAUCGCGAUACUUUUUGAACAAGAUUAAUCGCGAUACUUAUCUUGAUAGGCUUGCUAUAAGGUUUGGAUUUUUCUGUUUCCCUGCACUGUUGGACUUGGCUUGGUUUAACUAACUAUGAUCCGACAUUUUCUGUUCCACUAAUCUUAGUUUGUCUUGUGUAGAUAUGAUUGUGAAGGAGAACUAUCACAGUUGGCUCCUGUUGACAUUUUUGUUAGUACAGUGGACGCUCUCAAAGAGCCACCUCUUGUAACUGCAAAUACUGUUUUGUCUAUACUUGCUGUUGAUUACCCUGUCGACAAAGUUUCCUGCUAUGUAUCAGAUGAUGGUUCAGCUAUGUUGACUUUUGAAGCCUUAUCUUACAGCCGAGUUUGCAAAGUUGUGGGUGCCCUUUUGCAAAAAGCACAAUAUUGAGCCAGGAGCACCUGAAUUUUAUUUUGCACAAAAGAUUGAUUACUUAAAGGAUAAGAUUCAACCCUCAUUUGUUAAGGAGCGACGAGCAAUGAAGAGAGAAUAUGAAGAAUUCAAAGUAAGGAUCAAUAGCUAUGUGGCCAAAGCUCAGAAGACGCCAGAGGAAGGUUGGACAAUGCAGGAUGGAAUUCCUUGGCCUGGAAAUAAUUCUAGGGAAUCAUACUGGAAUGAUUUAGGUGUUUUUAGGUCAUAGUGGAGGACUUGAUACAGAUGGUAAUGAGCUUCCUAGUCUUGUUUAUGUUUCUCGUGAAAAGCCACCAGGUUUCCAACAUCACAAGAAGGCUGGAGCUAUGAAUGCAUUGAUUUGUCACACUGAAGCUUCUUAUUUUUUGUGUUUGAGGGAAUUGUCUGGUUUAUUGUCUUCUUAAUGGUUGUGUCUUGUCCCGUGUCUUGUUUUGUUCCUAUUGAAAUAUGAUGUCAACAAGCUGAAUCUAUAUGAAAAGUAACUUACAAAGUGGUGUCGCGAGUCAACAUAGUACAAUGAUAAACAAUGUUUAACGUACAAAGUGGUUUAUUUUUCUUCUUUAGGAUGCGAAUGAUGUUUCUAGUCGAUGAUUGUGUAUGAUGGUUGUGCUUUUUUUUUAUUUUUUUUUUAUUUUUUUAUUUUUAUUUAUUUAUUAGAAAGAUAAGCUUCUUUAAGAUGUGAAAAUGAUGUUGCUAGUCGAUGGUUGGGUAGGAGUAGGAUGGUUGUGCUUUUUUAUUUAUUAGAAAGAUAGGUUUGAACUUAUUUAACCUUGGUUUAACUUGUGCAAUGUAGAUUCGAGUUUCUGCUGUAUUGACCAACGGUGCAUAUGUUUUGAAUGUUGAUUGUGAUCACUAUUUCAAUAAUAAUUGCAAAGCACUUAAAGAAGCAAUGUGUUUCAUGAUGGAUCCCGCUUAUGGAAAGAAGACAUGCUAUGUGCAAUUUCCUCAGAGAUUUGAUGGCAUUGAUUUGCACGAUCUAUAUUCCAGUCGCAAUAUUGUCUUCUUCGAUGCACGUCUUUAUUCUUUUGUAAUUUCUCCAAUUUUUAACCAAGGAAUUAUUUUCUUUCCUUGCAUUACUCCACUGCUUUGGCAAACUUCAUAUUUUUCAUUCGUCAGAUCAACAUGAAAGGUCAUGAUGGUAUUCAGGGUCCAGUCUAUGUGGGAACUGGUUACUGUUUCAACAGGCAAAAGCUUUGUAUGGUAAUGAUCCUGUUUUGACUGAGGAAGAUCUCGAACCUAAUGUUAUUGUGAAGAGUUGUCGGGGUUCUAGAAAGAAGGGAAGGGGUGGCAACAAGAAGUAUGGUGACAAGAAGAGGGGAGUUAAAAGAACUGAAUCCACAAUUCCCAUAUUUAAUAUGGAGGAUGAUGAGGGUGUUGAAGGUUAUCACGAGGAAAGGUCACUUCUAAUGUCUACGAAGAGCUUGGAGAAGCAUUUCGGACAGUCACCAGUUUUUAUUGCUAUUACCUUAUAUGAGCAAGGUUGCAUUCCACCUACAACCAAUCCUGCAACUCUUCCUAAGGAAGCAGUCCACGUUAUCAGUUGUGGUUAUGAAGACAAGAUAGAAUGGGGCAAAGAGGUCUUGUGCAAGCAGAACCUGUGACUGCUUCUAGUCUGAUACGGGCUGAUGCUUUGCAGAUUGCUAAAGCAGCUGAGCUUGAUGUCUCAGCGACUGUUAAUUGGAAAAGUCCAACUCUGGGGAGAUUCAAAUGUAAUAUUGAUGCAUUCUUUGUGGAGUGGAUGUUGGUGGACCUCUUGGUGAGUAAAUGUCCCUAAAAUGAUGGUAUGCCGUCGAUGUCCCUAAAUUUAGUUUAUGUACCUUGAUUUCUCUAAAUUUUAUGGUCUGAAUGCAAUUUCAAUUUGGAUGCUUCAAAGGUAAGUGGAGAAGUCCAUUGGAAACUUUGAUGCAAAAUUGAAUACAUGUCCCUCGAUAUCCCUAAAUUGAAUAUAUGUCCUUCGAAGUCCCUAAAUUGAAUAUAUGUACCUCAAUGUCCUAAAUUAGAUGUUCAUUAUUCUGCUUUGUUUUGUUGCUUGUUAUGAAGUUUAUGGGAACAACGUAUGAGAACAAUUUGAUGUCCUUAAUUCUGCUCAUAACGUUAAAUAAGAAAGAUGGUUGUGUGCGUGCCUUGGUGCUUUCGAUGCAAAAUUGAGUUUAUGUCUCUCGAUGUCUCUAAAUUUGAUGGUUUGAAU